GAACUCCGCAGCACUCCUUUAUGAACUGGCCUUCAUUGCUUAGGAGAUGCCCUCAUCUGGCAGCAAAGCAACUUGCACAGCUUACGUAUUCAAAUACUCCCCUUUUGCAGUGCAGCAGAUUUACAGUUUCAGGGAGUCUCGCACCUGGGAUUUGAACUUGCACUGUCUGUUACAUGUCCAGGUCCGUUAGCACUAUAGUGUUGUCCUUAAAGUGCAUUGCCCUCACGCUCCACAUUCUCCAUUAAGUCUUCACUACCUAUAAAUUACAAGUCUACACAGGCAGAUGCUCUCAUAGUGAAGUUGAAAAACUGCUAUUAGAAUCCAUCCAAGAUUGUUCAUAUCCCUUGCUGAUGAAAUUGAUCCCAGGGUUUGUGGAGGUCAGGAUGUUUGUGCUUAUCUUGGCACCCUCACUGUGCAUAGGGAUUUACCUGUGUUUAUAGAACCUUCGCUGUACAUAGGGCGUUACCUGUGAUUAUAACCCCUAAAUUGUGCGUAUGGCUUUACCCGUGUUUAUAGCACCUAAACUGCACGUAUGGCUUUACCUUUAUUUAUUGCACCUUGACUAUGCAUUGGGGUUUACCUGUUUUUACGGUAGCUUCACUGUGGAUAGGGGGUUACUUAUGUUUAUAACACCUUCUUGCGUAAGAUUUGACUUGAGUCCUUGUUUGAAUUAUAAAAGACGCUGUCAAAAAAUUAUAAGGGAUUCUCAUUCCUCUGAGCUUUACAAUGGAACGUUGAGACUCUUCAGAACUGCUGACCUAACUGACACCUCUAUUUUAAGUAGUGAUUUGCAGUACUGUGCAAAAGUGAGCAACACCCCUUUCUUUUAUUUACUUUCCAGUGAGGACAGCCAAUAAGUACAGGUUAUGUAUUUUUGAGUGUCAGAAAAUAAUGCAACAAAUGUAUAUUUAACAGAAAAUUGAACAAAAA